UAACGCGUGGGCAACCUGCCUCAUACAGGGGGAUAACAGUUAGAAAUGACUGCUAAUACCGCAUAAGACCGCGGUGCCGCAUGGCACAGCGGUAAAAACUCCGGUGGUAUGAGAUGGGCCCGCGUCUGAUUAGCUAGUUGGCGGGGUAACGGCCCACCAAGGCGACGAUCAGUAGCCGACCUGAGAGGGCGACCGGCCACAUUGGGACUGAGACACGGCCCAAACUCCUACGGGAGGCAGCAGUGGGGAAUAUUGCACAAUGGGGGAAACCCUGAUGCAGCGACGCCGCGUGAGCGAUGAAGUAUUUCGGUAUGUAAAGCUCUAUCAGCAGGGAAGAAGAUGACGGUACCUGACUAAGAAGCCCCGGCUAACUACGUGCCAGCAGCCGCGGUAAUACGUAGGGGGCAAGCGUUAUCCGGAUUUACUGGGUGUAAAGGGAGCGUAGACGGCGAUGCAAGCCAGAUGUGAAAGCCCGGGGCUCAACCCCGGGACUGCAUUUGGAACUGUGUGGCUGGAGUGUCGGAGAGGCAGGCGGAAUUCCUAGUGUAGCGGUGAAAUGCGUAGAUAUUAGGAGGAACACCAGUGGCGAAGGCGGCCUGCUGGACGAUGACUGACGUUGAGGCUCGAAAGCGUGGGGAGCAAACAGGAUUAGAUACCCUGGUAGUCCACGCCGUAAACGAUGACUGCUAGGUGU
rnacentral:rRNA from 1 species